UACGUAGGGUCCGAGCGUUGUCCGGAAUUACUGGGCGUAAAGAGCUCGUAGGUGGUUUGUCGCGUUGUCCGUGAAAACUCACAGCUCAACUGUGGGCGUGCGGGCGAUACGGGCAGACUGGAGUACUGCAGGGGAGACUGGAAUUCCUGGUGUAGCGGUGGAAUGCGCAGAUAUCAGGAGGAACACCGAUGGCGAAGGCAGGUCUCUGGGCAUUAACUGACGCUGAGGAGCGAAAGCGUGGGGAGCGAACAGG
rnacentral:rRNA from 1 species